AGGCACCUCCGGGGGCCUUAAACAUAGCGGGUCCAAAGACAAGAACCUAAGGGCCUGCACGCUAAACGGAAGACAGAAA
rnacentral:ncRNA from 1 species